GUGCUUGCUUCGGCAGCACAUAUGCUAAAAUUAGAAUGAUACAGAGAUUAGCGUGACCCCUGCGCAAGGAUGACACACAGAUUCGUGAAGCAUUCUUAUUUUUU
rnacentral:snRNA from 1 species